AUGAACGCUGGCGGUAUGCUUAACACAUGCAAGUCGAACGGACCCUUCGGAGUUAGUGGCGGACGGGCGAGUAACGCGUGAGAAUCUGGCUUUGGGUUCGGGACAACCACUGGAAACGGUGGCUAAUACCGGAUGUGCCGAGAGGUAAAAGAGAAAUUGCCUGAAGAUGAGCUCGCGUCUGAUUAGCUAGUUGGUGAGGUAAAGGCUCACCAAGGCAGCGAUCAGUAGCUGGUCUGAGAGGAUGACCAGCCACACUGGGACUGAGACACGGCCCAGACUCCUACGGGAGGCAGCAGUGGGGAAUUUUCCGCAAUGGGCGAAAGCCUGACGGAGCAAUACCGCGUGAGGGAAGAAGGCUCUUGGGUUGUAAACCUCUUUUCUUAGGGAAGAACAAAAUGACGGUACCUAAGGAAUCAGCAUCGGCUAACUCCGUG
rnacentral:rRNA from 1 species